rnacentral:rRNA from 1 species
GUGAGGUAACGGCUCACCAAGGCAUCGACGGGUAGCUGGUCUGAGAGGACGAUCAGCCACACUGGGACUGAGACACGGCCCAGACUCCUACGGGAGGCAGCAGUAGGGAAUCUUGCGCAAUGGGCGAAAGCCUGACGCAGCAACACCGCGUGGGGGAUGAAUGCCUUCGGGUUGUAAACCCCUUUCAGUAGGGACGAAAAUGACGGUACCUGCAGAAGAAGCCCCGGCCAACUACGUGCCAGCAGCCGCGGUAAUACGUAGGGGGCAAGCGUUGUCCGGAUUUAUUGGGCGUAAAGAGCUCGUAGGCGGUUCGGUAAGUCGGGUGUGAAAAUCCAAGGCUCAACCUUGGGACGCCACCCGAUACUGCUGUGACUAGAGUCCGGUAGAGGAGUGUGGAAUUCCUGGUGUAGCGGUGAAAUGCGCAGAUAUCAGGAGGAACACCUGCGGCGAAGGCGGCACUCUGGGCCGGUACUGACGCUGAGGAGCGAAAGCAUGGGGAGCAAACAGGAUUAGAUACCCUGGUAGUCCAUGCCGUAAACGUUGGGCACUAGGUAUGGGGUCUUAUCAACGGAUUCCGUGCCGUAGCUAACGCAUUAAGUG